GACGAACGCUGGCGGCGUGCCUAAUACAUGCAAGUCGAACGCAGUGGGGACGGGUGAGUAACACGUGGGUAACCUCCCAUCAGAGGGGAUAACACUUGGAAACAGGUGCUAAACUCGUGUAGGAUGAGGCUAUAUUGUAUCAGCUAGUUGGUGAGGUAACGGCUCACCAAGGCCACGAUGCAUAGCCGACCUGAGAGGGUGAUCGGCCACACUGGGACUGAGACACGGCCCAGACUCCUACGGGAGGCAGCAGUAGGGAAUCUUCGGCAAUGGACGAAAGUCUGACCGAGCAACGCCGCGUGAGUGAAGAAGGUUUUCGGAUCGUAAAACUCUGUUGUUAGAGAAGCGGUAUCUAACCAGAAAGCCACGGCUAACUACGUGCCAGCAGCCGCGGUAAUUC
rnacentral:rRNA from 1 species